GAAGCAAGUCGCGAGUUGAGGUAUGUUCUUGAUUUUAAAUUACUAAGAUCGCCAGUAAAUACUUUGUGCUGAAACUUUUGUGACAGGUAGUUCUGCGCAUCGUUGACAAUGCCAUUCGCAACUCUCUCUGCCACUAUUGAGAUCGUGCUGACCGGAUUCAGUCCAACUGAGCAUGGAAUCAAAGAGGCGUCGCAAACGUACAGGCCUGCGUGAACUUUUGUUGUCUUCCUGAACUGACCGUUGCUCGUCUCAGGGAAGAAAAUCUGGCCGUUUGCGUUUGCCACGCCGGUGGAUGAGUCUGUUGCUGCGUUGCAACCUCCCAAAAGAUGAACGGCAGCACUUCUGAAGCGACUCAUGUACAGCUUCCCACGAAGGCGAGCUGCCAACUUUUCAGCGGUCCGAAGCUUAUGAUGAAAAAGUAAGUCCUUCGCUGCACUGUAUGCCACUCUUCCUGUUACCUUGUCUAGCUUGAUUUGCCCGUCAGCAGCGUCAUAUCCCAUCAUAUUCAAUACCAGAGCUUGGCUGUUCUGCGUUCCUGUCCAUUGUUUGACUUGUUCCCAGAUACCAGUGAGAAACCCGUAGUCCCCUAGGCCAUAAGUAAUGACUCCCCUUAGUAGAAAUUCUGGAGCAGCUUGAGGAAUACAAGAGCCCUGAAAGAGGUGUUUAGCUUGAUAUAAGCUUAUUUCACUCAUAUUACCUGUAUUGUAAAGCCAAGUGAUGAUGUAUGUGAACUUGAUAUGACUGGACCAGGACGUAGCUGCAUGGGAGUCCUUGAGAAAUCUUCUUCUCGAAGUCCUUGAGCUUGAGUCUGUGCGGCUGUGCCUGUUAUGUAAGCUAUAUUAUUUCCAUUGCAGCUAACUCCGUAUCCCAACUGUUGGGACAGUUGUAGGCCUCGCUCUUUUGAUCGUAAGAGGAUCCCAUUCGUGCCAAGAACACCAGCUGAAGAAAGAAGGGGCAGCAAAUAUUAGCAACGAAAGUUUCGAGCUUCUACAAGAUAGUACCGGCUACGAUGAUGUAGUCUGCCGAAAUAUAAUCCACUUCAUUCAGGUGCACACGCCAUCUUCUUGUAGCUACUGAUUUGCAAUUUGCUCCAUCAUUGCAGGGUUGACAACAGAAUUCUU
rnacentral:lncRNA from 1 species